UACGGAAGGGACUCGGUGAGAAAGGUAUCCACGCUGGAUUCAAAUGCACCAUUUUGGAGUAAAUAAAAUGGUGCGUUUGAUUGAAGUUAGAGAUGUCUCAUAUACACACGAAACUGUGCAUUUCAUUUCACCGUAAAUCCCUCUCCCCAAUUUCUCUCCCCAUGCUCUCCCCCUUCCCUCUCUAGCGAUCCCCAACCCUAACCCUAAACAGUGAUCAAAUGCAUGCGGGAUUGGCUUAUUUUCCCAACGAUCAAGCUUCCAUAUAAAGACAAGACAACCUUUGUCUCUCUUUCUCUCUAAAUAUUUUUUGUACGGUGAGUUUCCCCUUCCGAGGUUUGCCUCUUUUUCAUUUCUGUGCUCUCCUUCCCCUUUCAUUUCUGUACGGUUAUGACUGAUGCAUCUCUUUUUACUUUCAUUUACUCGAUUUUGUCUUUCACCUUGUAGGGAUUUAUCAUUUCAUUUAUGAGUAAAGACUAUAGUGUUGUUUAGGGUGGCGAGGGAAUGAGUUCGAUGGCUGUGUUUUUACUUUGUUACAACGUCAAUUCUUUUUUUUUUUUUUUUGGUAGAUUCUUGUAUAAAUAGACAGGACUCUCAUUACUUAGAUUUUAUUUAGAAUUGUUAAAACGUGAUUUGUGUUCGAGAUUGAACAUUACUCAAGAACCUUUUCAUUUUCCAUCGUGUUUGUGAUUCUUGUUUCAUGGGCUGAGUUUUUUGGGUGUUCUUGGCAUUCUAAUAUGUUUUCUUGAAGAAAUACCAUUACAGAGCAUGAAAAGAAAAGGAGGAGAAGAAAGAUUUUAUACAGAGGUUGUUUCAGCAAAAUUUGUCAUGAAGACAGAUGAUGAUGCGUUCGUACGUGUAGAUGAAGUGCUGGCUUCUCUAGAUAGGAUCAAUGUGACUCAAGGUUUGGCUUAUGGGCUCAUAAACUCGGAUUCCCAGCCACAUCGCAAUCCUGAAAAGCAAGUGGUAUAUUAGUCCUGAGGAAUGGCCUGAAGAGAGGUAUCCUGCUUGGGCGCACGGUCCUGGUUAUGAGGUGUCGCAUGACAUUGCAAAAGAAAUCUAUUGGAGAUACCAAAAAGAAAAUUUAAGGGUAUGGUAAAGAUAAUCUACCAUUUUGUAGCACCUUUUUCAGGUGGGGGAGUUUGUUAAAACUGGACUGACCAGUUGUUUACGUGACAUGUAGUUUUAACAUUUGUUCACAUCUGAUCAAAACGAAUGUGACGUCGCAGAUGUUUAAGCUAGAGGAUGUGGCAAUGGGCAUCUGGAUUGCAGAGAUGAAGGACAUUUUGAAAGUUCGGUAUGAGAAUGACGAGAGGAUCCACAAUGAGGGGUGCAAAGAUGGUUAUGUUGUGGCGCAUUACCAAGAUCCCAGGGAGAUGAUCUGUUUGUGGCAAAAAAUUCAGGAAGGAAAUGGUGCUAGGUGCUGUGGUGAUCCAUGAGCAUCAUUAGUUAAUGCAAGAGGAUCUUUAUUAAGUCUAGAGGGGCAUUACCAUGGCUGUAAACUAGAAAUACUUUAAGUCUAGAGUUUGUAGAGAUGCGCAUUUCGCAUGAACCAGAGGAUCUUUAUUAUGUGUAGAGAGAGAGAGCGCCUUGUACAGAUUCCACUCAGUUUUAGGAUCAUAAGUACUACUUCUCUGUAAUGUUGAUCCCAAUAUAAUAAACUUAACUAUUUAAUA